rnacentral:lncRNA from 1 species
AAAUAAUUCAUACUACAUAUUAAGUUCAAUCAUAAUCUUAGAUAACUAAAUUAGUUCCCCAUAAUAUCACAAAUCAUCAUCAAAUAAAGUUUAAACAUUAAAACGAAGCCAAGAAAAUAAAAAAUAACAAAAAGAAUAAAGAAACUCAAAGAGUUGAAAUCUUGAUCUCCAAAUCUUCUUGAAUCCUUCAAUUUCUUUUCGGCUCCAAUGAGACUUUUCUUCAACGAUUUUUAGGUUGAAUCUUAGCUCUAAAUC